rnacentral:rRNA from 1 species
UACGUAGGGUGCAAGCGUUGUUCGGAAUUACUGGGCGUAAAGGGCUCGUAGGCGGCCAACUAAGUCAUACGUGAAAUCCCUCGGCUUAACCGGGGAACUGCGUCUGAUACUGGAUGGCUUGAGAUUGGGAGAGGGAUGCGGAAUUCCAGGUGUAGCGGUGAAAUGCGUAGAUAUCUGGAGGAACACCGGUGGCGAAGGCGGCAUCCUGGACCAACACUGACGCUGAGGAGCGAAAGCCAGGGGAGCAAACGGG